CGACAAUUAAAACACGUGAAGCCAACCCCAGAAUUUGUUGACGGACUCAGAGGAAGGAUGGAAGAAGUUGAAAUGGCAAUGAAUGCUUUUAAA